rnacentral:rRNA from 1 species
AGCGAACGCUGGCGGCAGGCCUAACACAUGCAAGUCGAACGAAGCCUUCGGGCUUAGUGGCGGACGGGUGAGUAACACGUGGGAACGUACCUUUUGGUUCGGAACAACUCAGGGAAACUUGAGCUAAUACCGGAUGAGCCCUUAGGGGGAAAGAUUUAUCGCCGAAAGAGCGGCCCGCGUUAGAUUAGCUAGUUGGUGAGGUAAAGGCUCACCAAGGCUACGAUCUAUAGCUGGUCUGAGAGGAUGAUCAGCCACACUGGGACUGGGACACGGCCCAGACUCCUACGGGAGGCAGCAGUGGGGAAUCUUGCGCAAUGGGCGAAAGCUUGACGCAGCCAUGCCGCGUGAAUGAUGAAGGUCUGAGGAUUGUAAAAUUCUUUUACCAGGGACGAUAAUGACGGUACCUGGAGAAAAAGCCCCGGCUAACUUCGUGCCAGCCGCCGCGGUAAAAC